rnacentral:rRNA from 1 species
UACGGAGGGAGCUAGCGUUGUUCGGAAUUACUGGGCGUAAAGCGCGCGUAGGCGGCUUUGUAAGUUAGAGGUGAAAGCCCGGGGCUCAACCCCGGAAUUGCCUUUAAGACUGCAUCGCUUGAAUCCGGGAGAGGUGAGUGGAAUUCCCGAGUGUAGAGGUGAAAUUCGUAGAUAUUCGGAAGAACACCAGUGGCGAAGGCGGCUCACUGGACCGGCAUUGACGCUGAGGUGCGAAAGCGUGGGGAGCAAACAGG